UUCGAUCUAAUGCGAGGUCAAAGGUCUUGUAUCCGUAAAGCCCGGCCAGCGGCCUCACCACCCUAGUAAACUGUUCACUGUCCCUUGGAAGCCCGGUGGGGGCCCGGCAGUUCAUAAGGAAUGAGGGAGAGGGAUUCUUGGGGGCAUCCUAAGGGUGAGCUGUGGUAGCCGGCGGAGAAGCCGGUGGACAGUGGUGAAACUCCCGCUCGAUCGCUUCGGAGGAGGCACCGUGUCGUAUUGAGCAGAAACGUCGGCUUCCCAGGGUCCAGUUUCCACCGCCCUGCCUCGAGCACGCCUGCUCAAUGGACCUCCCGGUCCUGCCUUCGAGGGGAGAUGCAGCUGGCCGUGGGGGCCGCUUGUGAGGGGAGUCGUUUGGCGGGUAACAGAAUGUGAGGUUCUCCGAUCCCGGGCUCGCUUCCCUUCUCGCUCUGACAGAUGGGGCUGAGGAGGAGAAAGGCUUCCAGACUCUUCCCGGGCCAGGGGAGUUGGCGGACGCCCAAUCCCCUCAGGGGCUCGGCCGGUCUCUGAGCCGCUAUUUUCAAGGCGGAUCUCGCGGGCAGAGGGGAAACGGUGGGCAGAGGAGCCCUAGGGCAAGAGACGGAUGUGGCCUAGCUCGCAGAGGGUCGGGGCGGCCGCCCUCCCUUCGAAGUGUCGAAGCCGGUGUCCCCCGAGAGGCUACUUCAUCUCCGUGGGCAGACGAGCAGAACACCGGGAUGGGGUUCGCAGCUGUUCUGCUGGCCUGGUUUGGGAGAAGUUCUCCGUAAUUCCCAGGAUUCCCUAUGCGAUAAGCUGAUUACCCAAAGGAGUUCCAGAAACAAGGCAACAUCCCCACACGCCACUGGAGGAGCACAGAACGAGCCUCCUUCGGGAAACACAGGUCUCCUUGGCAUCGAAUGGGGGACAGGCUCUUCCCUCCCUCCUCUUCAAAGACUCAGUCGCAGCUCCGACCCUGUCCCCUCCCCUCUCGAUCCACGCUUGAGGCACCCAGAUGUGAGCCCGUGACUUCCCGAUGACCCUGAGGCUCCUUGGGUCCAUUUGGCCUUCUCUGGGACUGGUGCUGCCGUUGUCUGGGUCUUGUAGCGGAAGCUCCUUGAAAGCAGGGAUCGUGUCUGCUGACUCUGGCGGACUCUCCCAAACGCUCAGUACGGCGCCCGGCACAGUAGACUGGAAGCUCCUUGAAAGCAGGGAUCGUGUCGGCUGACUCUUUCGAACUCUCCCUAACGCUCGGUACAGCGCUCUCUGCACAGUAGACUGGAAGCUCCUUGAGGGCAAGGAUGGCGUCUACUGACUCGAUUGAUCUCUGCCAAGUGGUCUACACGCAAUAAGUGCUCGACAGAUACCACCGAUUGAUUGAUACUUGAUAACGGGCAGGGAACAGGGACAGCCUGAACCCUUCAGACUUUGAGGGCCAGAUGUUUUGGGAGUCGUGACCUGAUCUGGUGCCUGGUGGCUGGGAUUUCCAGCUGGACGAGAGAAGAGAGAGGCUAGGUUCCUUCCACAGCUUUUUUCUGGGGUUAUGUGAUCUGCCCAGAGGCUAUGUGGUCAGUGGGAAUAUUUUAAAAAUAAUAAUAAUUAAUGACAAUUCUAGCCCUAAAAAGCCAGCGCCAGACAGUUGUUGUGAUUUUUGAGCCUGAAUCCUUCCAAAUUCUAUAUUACAAAUCCUCAGAGGGAAUUUAGGAAAUCA
rnacentral:lncRNA from 1 species